CAUCAGAGUUUGAUCUUGGUUUCAGGAUGAACGCUGGCGGCGUGCCUAAUACAUGCAAGUCGAGCGAACAGACGAGGAGCUUGCUCCUCUGACGUUAGCGGCGGACGGGUGAGUAACACGUGGAUAACCUACCUAUAAGACUGGGAUAACUUCGGGAAACCGGAGCUAAUACCGGAUAAUAUAUUGAACCGCAUGGUUCAAUAGUGAAAGACGGUUUUGCUGUCACUUAUAGAUGGAUCCGCGCCGCAUUAGCUAGUUGGUAAGGUAACGGCUUACCAAGGCAACGAUGCGUAGCCGACCUGAGAGGGUGAUCGGCCACACUGGAACUGAGACACGGUCCAGACUCCUACGGGAGGCAGCAGUAGGGAAUCUUCCGCAAUGGGCGAAAGCCUGACGGAGCAACGCCGCGUGAGUGAUGAAGGUCUUCGGAUCGUAAAACUCUGUUAUUAGGGAAGAACAAAUGUGUAAGUAACCUAUGCACGUCUGACGUACCUAAUCAGACGGACCCUUNCC
rnacentral:rRNA from 1 species